UAUGCCUCUGACUGCAGUGUCCUUUCUCGUUCUCCAAACUUAUCUAAAUUUAAAUAUUUCAAGGCUAAGACAAAAUGCUCCUCUGCAAAUCCAUUCUAUUCUCCCCUAUGCUGUAUCACCAAUGUGCUUUUGGUAAUUGAACUCAGGUCCAAUUUGAGCUCUGAUUAGUCUAAGCCAAUCAUGUUUAAAUCAUGUCCUAUCUUCUUUUCCAGGCCUGAGCAAAUCAACCCAUGUCAUUCCCCUGGUGAUAUUUUGGAGUUAGGAAUAAGCAUAUGGCCUAAGUCGGCUCCAUAAGACUGAAGAAAAUGAUUUUUGUUCAAUAGCUGGCAGGAGGCAUCGAUUCUCUUCUGUUUGAUAAAAUAAGGACUUGUAUAGUCCUCAUUGUUCUGGCAGGUAGCUGACCACAGACCAUGAGGAAGAACAGCCCUAGGAUGAAACAACGUGAUGGAUGGUAGGCAGGCUGUACAAGUAGCAUGGCACCAGCAUCUGCUUCUGAUGAGGGCUUCAGAGAGCUUCUACUCAUGGUGGAAGGCCAAGGGGGAUGAGGCACUACAUACUGAGAGAAGAAGGAAGAGAAGGAUGGGAAGGAGGUCCACAACUGCAGCUUAGCCAAGCAUCUUCUGCAGCGAAGGAGCAGCUCCUGUCUGAAACAUGCUAGUCUUGUAACAGAGGGAAAAGAUGGUAGACCACAAGAUGUUCCUUAAAACUUAUUCUUAGAAGUGGCACACAACUUCACAGUUUAUUAGCCAAGGAAAGUCAAAUGGCCAAAACUGACUUCAGUAAAGUAGAAGUUUAUUCCUCCCUCAAGUACAGACUGGUGGAGAGUUGCCAGUAAGGAAUGGAAGCAUUUUGUCUGACAAUAAGAAAAUCUAUCACAGUGUUAAAGGCCCAAAUACCACCGAUAUAUCUUAUCAAUUUAUAAGACCAGCUUAAACAUCUCACAAGAGCACCGAAGUAUAUAUUUUAUUAAGAUUUCUUCUGUAUAUCCCACAGACAUCACAGCUCAAGAGUCAAAUCUAAACUCAUCACUUUCUCCCCUGAUCCCAUUCUCAUUUCUCCCCCUUACCGACCCUACUCUAAAUAUGGGUCUCCUUAUAUUUGUAAAUGGUACCAUCAUCCACACUUUCAACCGGAAGUUAACUCCUCCCUCUUCAUAACCAAUCCUUUACAAUAGGUCUUCUCCAGUAUAUUUCCUAUGUGCUUCUUAAAUCUCUCAUUUCCUUUUCAUCCCUUCUGCCAAAGAUUUUGGUAAGGUCCUCAUUAUCUUUCAACUGAUCACUGCAAUACUCUCCAAACUGGAAUCUCUGACUCCAGUCUCAA